ensembl:miRNA
AGCUUAAAGGACCCCCACUACUUUAAUGUGGAAGUACUUGCUUUGCUCCUGAUAAAGUAAGUGCUUCCAUGUUUUAGUGAUGGUGAAACCUG